UUAGGUGGCAAGCGUUGUCCGGAAUUAUUGGGCGUAAAGCGCGCGCAGGUGGUUCUUUAAGUCUGAUGUGAAAGCCCCCGGCUCAACCGGGGAGGGUCAUUGGAAACUGGGGAACUUGAGUGCAGGAGAGGAAAGUGGAAUUCCACGUGUAGCGGUGAAAUGCGUAGAUAUGUGGAGGAACACCAGUGGCGAAGGCGACUUUCUGGCCUGUAACUGACACUGAGGCGCGAAAGCGUGGGGAGCAAACAGGGAUUAGAUACCCUGGUAGUCCACGCCGUAAACGAUGAGUGCUAAGUGUUGGGGGGGUUUCCCGCCCCUCAGUGCUGCAGCUAACGCAUUAAGCACUCCGCCUGGGGAGUACGGUCGCAAGACUG
rnacentral:rRNA from 1 species